GACGAACGCUGGCGGCGUGCUUAACACAUGCAAGUCGAACGCUGAAGCUUGGUGCUUGCACUGGGUGGAUGAGUGGCGAACGGGUGAGUAAUACGUGAGUAACCUGCCCUUGACUCUGGGAUAAGCCUGGGAAACUGGGUCUAAUACUGGAUACGACAUGUCACCGCAUGGUGGUGUAUGGAAAGGGUUUUACUGGUUUUGGAUGGGCUCACGGCCUAUCAGCUUGUUGGUGGGGUAAUGGCUCACCAAGGCGACGACGGGUAGCCGGCCUGAGAGGGUGACCGGCCACACUGGGACUGAGACACGGCCCAGACUCCUACGGGAGGCAGCAGUGGGGAAUAUUGCACAAUGGGCGGAAGCCUGAUGCAGCGACGCCGCGUGAGGGAUGACGGCCUUCGGGUUGUAAACCUCUUUCAGCACGGAAGAAGCGAAAGUGACGGUACGUGCAGAAGAAGCGCCGGCUAACUACGUG
rnacentral:rRNA from 1 species